rnacentral:rRNA from 1 species
UACGUAGGGGGGCAAGCGUUGUCCGGAAUCAUUGGGCGUAAAGCGCGUGUAGGCGGCUCGAUAAGUCUGCUGUGAAAAGUCCAGGGCUCAACCCUGGGAUGCCGGUGGAUACUGUCGAGCUCGAGUCCGGAAGAGGCGAGUGGAAUUCCUGGUGUAGCGGUGAAAUGCGCAGAUAUCAGGAGGAACACCAAUUGCGAAGGCAGCUCGCUGGGACGUUACUGACGCUGAGACGCGAAAGCGUGGGGAGCAAACAGG